GACGUAGGGCGCGAGCGUUGUCCGGAUUUAUUGGGCGUAAAGAGCGUGUAGGCGGCCAGGUAGGUCAGCUGUGAAAACUCGAGGCUCAACCUCGAGACGUCGGUGGAAACCGUUUGGCUAGAGUCCGGAAGAGGAGAGUGGAAUUCCCGGUGUAGCGGUGAAAUGCGCAGAUAUCGGGAAGAACACCCGUGGCGAAGGCGGCUCUCUGGGACGGUACUGACGCUGAGGCACGAAGGUCAGGGGAGCAAACGGG
rnacentral:rRNA from 1 species